GUUUGCUAAAGCAAGUAAGGUGCCUUUCUCUAUUGGGACAGGCUUAAAAGGGAAGUACGGUGAAAAGCCGUCACGGUACCCGCCACUGUGAUGAGGAGCUUCAUUGCAUCAUGUCACUGAAGGAAACUUCGGGAAGGCGCAAUGAAGCGAUGACUCUAAGUCAGGAGACCUGCCUUAUUUGCUCGGCCGGA
rnacentral:ncRNA from 2 species